ACGAACGCUGGCGGCGUGCUUAACACAUGCAAGUCGAACGGAAAGGCCCUGCUUUUGUGGGGUGCUCGAGUGGCGAACGGGUGAGUAACACGUGAGUAACCUGCCCUUGACUUGGGAUAACUUCAGGAAACUGGGGCUAAUACCGGAUAGGAGCUCCUGCUGCAUGGUGGGGGUUGGAAAGUUUCGGCGGUUGGGGAUGGACUCGCGGCUUAUCAGCUUGUUGGUGGGGUAGUGGCUUACCAAGGCUUUGACGGGUAGCCGGCCUGAGAGGGUGACCGGCCACAUUGGGACUGAGAUACGGCCCAGACUCCUACGGGAGGCAGCAGUGGGGAAUAUUGCACAAUGGGCGGAAGCCUGAUGCAGCAACGCCGCGUGCGGGAUGACGGCCUUCGGGUUGUAAACCGCUUUCGCCUGUGACGAAGCGUGAGUGACGGUAAUGGGUAAAGAAGCACCGGCUAACUACGUG
rnacentral:rRNA from 1 species